UGGACCAAUAAUCAGAGUGUAUCAUGAACCAAAGACUAUGAUGAAUCUAAUUCUGUGUAACUGAGGUUCCCC
rnacentral:snoRNA from 1 species